rnacentral:lncRNA from 10 species
AUACAUACAUAUUUAUACAUAUAUGUAUAAAUACAUAUUUAUACAUAUAAACAUAUAUUUCUGCUCUAGCUUUCCCAGAUUAAUGCUAGUUAAAUUAGAAUGGUGUAUGGAAAGGUGUGUUUCCCUCUGUUUUUUUUUUUUUUUUUUUUUUUUUUUUUCCCAUUUCCUAGAGCUGGAAUAAAAUAUCCAUGUUUUAUGGGACUUGAGCUUGGCUUUGUCCCUUGGUUUUGUUAAUGUUAAUUCCUCUUAAAUAUCUAAAAACAUCUCUACCUAUUUGAGAGGGCCAUAUGCUACACAGGCUUCCUAAUACUGCUUAGCAAUCCUUCUACUGGUUCCUAAGUGGUUUACUAUUGUGUUCCCUGGAAGAGGUAUUACAAACGUUUUAUUCUUCUCAAGCCUCUUAGAACUGUCAAAGUUGACUGUGCCUCCUAUUUCAUAGAGAAAAAACUAAAUUAUUAGAUAUGACCAUUCCCAAAACUUCUUCCCAUCUACCUUCAAGACUUACCUCUUUUCAGCCAUGCAUCCCCCUUUUCUAAGACAUGCUUCUCUUUGUGUUCUUGACCUCAUUCCUUCCCAUCUAAGACCAUAUUCCACCCUGUUUAAUUUCUAGUCUUCGGUUUCUCUUUUUACAGUGAGCAAAUUAGAAGAAUAGGUUAGAAGAAUAGGGUAGUAGAUACUGUAGUUUCUUUCCUCCACCUCUACAUAGCUGCAGGUCUUCUCUGUCUUAAAUCAACAAUAACAAAACAAGACAAAAACCUUUCCUUAACUUGGCCUCUUCCCUUGAACUAUUUUUUCUCUCUCCUUCCUAUAAUUGUUAUACUUCUUUAAAAAGUAAUUGUUACUUUUUGACAAAAGUAAAUAUUGUCCCUUUUUUCCCUACUUUCAAGUCCUCUCUGUCUUGUGACAUUCUGGCCUCCAUACCUGCUUAAUUUUUUUUGAGAUGGGGUCUUGCUCUGUUGCCCAGGCUGGAGUGCAGUGGCACAAACACAGCUCACUGCAACCUCCACCUCCCAGGAUCAAGCAAUCCUCCCAUCUCACCCUCCCAAGUAGCUGGGACUAUAGGCACCCGCCACCAUGCCUAAUUUUUUGUAUUUUUGGUAGUGACAGGGUUUCACCAUGUUGUCCAGGCUGGUCUCGAACUCCUGAGCUCAAGCAUCUGUCCGACUCAGCCUACCACAGUGUUGGGAUUACAGGCGUGAGCCACCGCACCCAGCCCCUACUUGAAUUUUUAUGUCAUUAUUGACUCUUCACCACUCUCUCCUUGAGACUCACUUAUCCCUUUGCUCUCUAUUUUUCCUGCUUUUGUUAUUCUUCAUUUUUCUUCUCUUGCUCUGAAUCCCUUAAAUGCUGAGGCUGCUCAAGUUUCAUCCCUAGUCCUAUUUUCUCAUUCUAUAUGCACACUCAUUUUUCAUUUAACAGACUUCACUGGCUUCAGGCACCAUUUGUUUUAUUAUUCAUAUUUUCAACCCCCAUAUCUCUCUAGUGCUGUAGACCUUUAUUUCUACUUACUAGUUAUAUUCACCUAACAUCCCAUAGAUAUGCCAAUGUCAAUGUGCCUAAAACAAAAUUGUCUCUACCUCCCGCUCCUUCAAAUCUAUUCUGUCUUCUCUAAUCCUAUAAUUACUCUCCCUCAAGUCAUCAUCAUCACUUUUCUGGGUUACUGUAAUAGCCUUCAGGCUAAUUUGCUCACUGUCAAUCUUGCUGUCUCUCAUUUCAGAAUAUGUUCUGCUUGCAGGUGACAGUAAACUAGUUAAACAAAUAUUUAAUAUUAGCUUAAGCAAAAAAAAAAAAAAAGGCCUAUCCUAUUUAUAGCCUAGAAUUAGGCAGUAUAGGGUUGGGACAGUGGCUCAUUGGUGCUAUCAAGGACGUAGACUUUUUCUCUUUCCACUCUGUCCUCUACAGCAUGCUGGUUUGUCACCUCAUGGUCACAAGAUGUCUGCUGUACCUCCAGGGAGCAGAUACACAUUCAAAGUAGGAAAUAGCAGAUAAAAAUGUACACAAGAUGCGUCUGACUCCCUUUUACCAGAAAAGUAAAUGCUUUCUUAGAAUCUCCUCAGAAGACCUCUGUGUAUAUCUCAACCAGUACUUGUCAUAUAGCCACACACUUAGCUCAAGGAAGAUAGGGAAUAGGGAAAUCAUGUUUCUUUUCCCCUGUGGUGAGGAAGGCAAGGGGUAAGGGGUUGGGAACAGGUGCUGAAUUAAAGCUAACAUACAGUAUCUACUACCCUAUUCUUCUAACCCAUUUGUCUAUUAUGAUAUAGUUGUCUUGACAACUAUAAUGAAUAGCUGUCUUUCUGAAAUCUUUAGUGGCUCAUCAUUGCCUGCAGAAUCAAAACUCCUUAGUCUGAUAUACAAGGCCCUUCAUAUCUGAUUCCAGCUUACCUUCUAAUCCUAUCUUCCCUCUCCUUACCCACCCUACUGCUAAUGUGUAUUAUAUUGUCUUUAUGACAUACCAUUUGUUUCUUGAACAUGCUUUGCUCAUUAUUGCCUCUUUCUCUGCCUGUGCUAGUGUGUCCUCUUAGAAUGUUCUUCCAUCUUAUCCUGCUCUACAUUCUAACUUCUACCCAUCCUACAAGUCCAAUUCCAGUGUCAUGUUCCCUUUCUCAAUCCUCCAGGGUAGAAUUUAGAUGUUCUGUCUUUUAGAGAUAGGUAUUGCUAUGUUGCCCAGGCUGGUCUCAAACUCAUGGCCUCAAGCGAUCCUCCCACCUCAGCCAACCAGACAUGAGUGACUGUGCUCAGCCUUUUUUAAAAAAAUGAAGGUAUUUGGUAUGGCCGGGUAUGGUGGCUCACACCUAUAAUCCCAGCACUUUGGGAGGCCAAGGUGGGUGAAUCACCUGAGGUCAGGAGUUUGAGACCAGCCUGACCAACAUAGUGAAACCCUGUCUCUACUAAAAACACGCAAAAAGUGCAAAAUUAGCUAGGCGUGGUGGCUCAUGCCUGUAAUUCCAGCUACUUGGGAGGCUGAGGCAGGAGAAUCACUUGAAUCCGGGAGGUGGAGGCUGCAGUGAGCCGAGAUCGUGCCAUUGCACUUCAGCCUGGGCACAAGAACAAAACUCAGUCUCAAAAAAUAAAUAAUAAAAAAUAAAGGUAUAUAAUAUGUCUUAGAUUUGAUGAAAUAUGAGUGUGUUUGAGAUCUGAUCCAAGGUUUUAAAAAAUUCAUUUCAAAUCCUGGAGAUAAAUUCUGAGGAGCUUACUUAUGAAAAACUAGCAAGUGAUAGCUGGUAUUUACAGAUAUGGUACUUUACACAAUUUAUGUAAUUAAUAUUUUCUCACAGACAAGGUUCCUUGUGGAUAUCACUGAAUAAUUUUUGUGUAGUUUCUAUGCCCAUGAAGUGCCUGGUAGGUAGUAGGAACUCACACGUUCUGCUAUGCUGGUUGCAGCACAGGACACAAAAGUUAGAAUUAUUUCAAAGGACUUAUACUCUACUAGGAAAGAGAGAAACAUAGAAAUAUAGUGUUGUAUGUGGUAUCUUCCCUAAGAUAAGUACAACCAAAGAGCUAUGGAUGUUCAGAGAUAGAAUGUAGUACUGGGAUGAUGUCAAGGAGGCAGUGGUACUUAAGCUGCUCAAGGUAGGGAAGCAGUUUACUUGCUAGUUUUUCAUAAGUAAGCUCUUCAGAAUUUAUCUCCAGUAUUUGAAAUGAAUUUUUUUAAACCUCAGAUCUGAAUAUAUUCAAACACCCAUAUUUCAUCAAAUCUAAGGCAUAUCAUAUACCUUUAAUUUAAAAAAAAAUGCUGAGCAGAGUUGCUUAUGUCUGGGAGGCUGAAGUGGGAGGAUUGCUUGAGGCCAAAAGUUUGAGACCAGCCUGAGCAACAUAGCAAGAUCCUGCCUCUAAAAACAAACAAACAAAAAAUGCUGCCAGUUGAUCAUUACAUUUAUCCCGACAUCAGAUAUGUCAAAUUGUGAAAAGCACCUUAAUUUUGAUGAAAUAUGAUAGGUAAAAAAUAGCGCAAAGCUAAGUAUAAGUGACUUUUAAAUUAUCUGCUCUUUUGGAUUAUCACUACUGCUACUAGCCGUUAGAAUAUUGGUUUGGAUAAUGGAAAGUUGACUAGAGCUACAAAAUCUGUUUCAAAAUAAAAGAUCUGCUCAAACAAGAAUGUGAUGAUCACUUGCUGUAUUGUACAACAAAGUCAAACUGCUGUUAGACUCAGGUGACAGUCAAAUGUUGGAGGCUGUGUUGGGAUGAGUUGUUACAAAGCCUCUUUCAUUCUUCCCAUGCCAUGUCCAGGAGUUCUUCUCUGUUAAACCUGAAGAGAUGCCAGCCCUCCUCAGAGGAAAGGUCUAAAGCCCCUCGACUAGUAUAGUAGUUGAUAGAAGCCUGGUUCCAAAUGACGACAAGAAAGUGCAUGCAGUUACAUUGAGUUGUGAUGGCUAUCUGUUUAAAAACAAACAAGCAAAUAUUACUUUCAUUUGAAAGUAUAAUCUUCGUUAACACAUAUAUUUUAUUGAAGGUCUACUCUAUGCAAGACACUAUGUGUGAAUAAUACUUCCAAAUAUAGUAGUUACCUUUUGAACUUUUCUAUAGCUGUAAAAAGAAAAAAGUCUCACUGUUCUGAGCUUUAAAGCCCUCUUUAAAAUCUCAAAACUGAUUUGCAAAGCCUUUAUCAUACAGAAAAGGUGUACCUAAAAGAACACAUGUUCUCAUAUGUUUCCAAAAUACAAGAAGAUCUUGCUUUUAUAGUCUUGUAAUAUUCAUACUGUGAGCCUGUGUUUUUGAAUAAAAAUGCUUUCUAAUCUCCCUCCUUCUUACUUUCCCUUGAUAGCAAAAAGGGUGUAUAGUGUGGUUGUGGAUUAUAUAUAAAUCAAUUUUAAUUGACUAUAAUUCAUAUACUGUAUAUGAUCAUCUGAUUUGAAAAUCCAGUUUAAUUUGGGUAGAAAUUUGAAGUAUAUGUUGGGGUUAUGUUCAAAUGGUGAGAUUAAUGAUUUAAUUUAUGCCCUGUGAAUAUUUAUUAAGAAAAGGUUAAUGUAUAGAAUAUCAAUACUAAUUGUAAUACAUACCUGACUUAGCCUCUUCAGCAUUUCAGCUCCAAUACCUAGGCCUUUUAAAUAGACAAUGCAAAGUGAAAACUGCAAAUUUCACUUAACUUGUUAUUUGCUUUAGUUUAAAAUAAAUAAUAUCUAAAACUCUGUAUCUGUUUUUUGUAUAUUAUUAAUAGCUUCUGGAAACACAACUCGUGAAUGCUUUCAUAUCCCUUUUUCCUAAUUGGAAUGACGUACCAAAGGUCAUAGAAGAGUUUGGGUUUAUUUUAAAGAUCAGUGAAGAAGUGAGUCUCUGCCACUAUUGUCUUAUAACGG